GGGUGAGUAACGCGUGGGUAACCUGCCUCAUACAGGGGGAUAACAGCCAGAAAUGACUGCUAAUACCGCAUAAGCGCACGGAACCGCAUGGUUUUGUGUGAAAAACUCCGGUGGUAUGAGAUGGACCCGCGUCUGAUUAGCUAGUUGGCGGGGUAACGGCCCACCAAGGCAGCGAUCAGUAGCCGGCCUGAGAGGGUGGACGGCCACAUUGGGACUGAGACACGGCCCAAACUCCUACGGGAGGCAGCAGUGGGGGAUAUUGCACAAUGGGGGGAACCCUGAUGCAGCGACGCCGCGUGAAGGAAGAAGUAUCUCGGUAUGUAAACUUCUAUCAGCAGGGAAGAAAAUGACGGUACCUGACUAAGAAGCCCCGGCUAACUACGUGCCAGCAGCCGCGGUAAUACGUAGGGGGCAAGCGUUAUCCGGAUUUACUGGGUGUAAAGGGAGCGUAGGCGGCAGUGCAAGUCAGAAGUGAAAGCCCGGGGCUCAACUCCGGGACUGCUUUUGAAACUGUACAGCUUGAUUGCAGGAGAGGCAAGUGGAAUUCCUAGUGUAGCGGUGAAAUGCGUAGAUAUUAGGAGGAACACCAGUGGCGAAGGCGGCUUGCUGGACUGUAAAUGACGCUGAGGCUCGAAAGCGUGGGGAGCAAACAGGAUUAGAUACCCUGGUAGUCCACGCCGUAA
rnacentral:rRNA from 1 species